GUCGUAACAAGGUCUCCGUUGGUGAACCAGCGGAGGGAUCAUUACCGAGUUUACAACUCCCAAACCCCUGUGAACAUACCACUUGUUGCCUCGGCGGAUCAGCCCGCUCCCGGUAAAACGGGACGGCCCGCCAGAGGACCCCUAAACUCUGUUUCUAUAUGUAACUUCUGAGUAAAACCAUAAAUAAAUCAAAACUUUCAACAACGGAUCUCUUGGUUCUGGCAUCGAUGAAGAACGCAGCAAAAUGCGAUAAGUAAUGUGAAUUGCAGAAUUCAGUGAAUCAUCGAAUCUUUGAACGCACAUUGCGCCCGCCAGUAUUCUGGCGGGCAUGCCUGUUCGAGCGUCAUUUCAACCCUCAAGCACAGCUUGGUGUUGGGACUCGCGUUAAUUCGCGUUCCCCAAAUUGAUUGGCGGUCACGUCGAGCUUCCAUAGCGUAGUAGUAAAACCCUCGUUACUGGUAAUCGUCGCGGCCACGCCGUUAAACCCCAACUUCUGAAUGUUGACCUCGGAUCAGGUAGGAAUACCCGCUGAACUUAAGCAUAUCAAUAGUCG
rnacentral:rRNA from 1 species